AGUCAAUAAUUCAUUUCUUCUAACGGAGGGAUCUUU
rnacentral:rRNA from 1 species